ACGAACGCUGGCGGCGUGCCUCAUACAUGCAAGUUGAGCGAUGAAGAUUGGUGCUUGCCCCAAUUUGAAGAGCAGCGAACGGGUGAGUAACGCGUGGGGAAUCUGCCUUUGAGCGGGGGACAACAUUUGGAAACGAAUGCUAAUACCGCAUAACAACUUUAAACAUAAGUUUUAAGUUUGAAAGAUGCAAUUGCAUCACUCAAAGAUGAUCCCGCGUUGUAUUAGCUAGUUGGUGAGGUAAAGGCUCACCAAGGCGAUGAUACAUAGCCGACCUGAGAGGGUGAUCGGCCACAUUGGGACUGAGACACGGCCCAAACUCCUACGGGAGGCAGCAGUAGGGAAUCUUCGGCAAUGGACGAAAGUCUGACCGAGCAACGCCGCGUGAGUGAAGAAGGUUUUCGGAUCGUAAAACUCUGUUGGUAGAGAAGAACGUUGGUGAGAGUGGAAAGCUCAUCAAGUGACGGUAACUACCCAGAAAGGGACGGCUAACUACGUG
rnacentral:rRNA from 1 species